AUGGCGGAGGCGGCGCCGGCCUCGCCGUGGUGGGCGGGGCGGAUGGCAGCGGCGUUCGGGGCGCCGUUCCUCUGGCUCGUCUGCCUGAUCUACUUCAUCCAGGGUUUCAGAUCUUUUGUCUGGACAGCUGUCUCAUAUCAAAUGAAGGACAUCAUGAAGCUGUCACCCUCAACAUCACAGUUUUUGGUCUCUGCUGCAUUUUUCCCUUGGAGCAUAAAACCUAUAUAUGGGAUUGUGUCGGACUGUAUUCCAAUUAAGCAGAGGAAGCGUGUACCCUAUUUGAUCAUUUCUAGUGGUCUUUCUCUAUUUCCAUGGCUUAUCAUUGGGCUGUCAGAACAUUUGAGGAGCUCAAGCAAUCUUUUUACGCUAAUGUUGAUUGUACAGAACUUGGGAUCUGCCAUGGCAGAUGUUGUUAUAGAUGCAAUGAUUGCAGAGGCAGUUCGAUCAGCAGGGCCAGAAUUUGCUGGUGAUCUCCAGUCAUUAUCUUGGUCAUCAAUGGCUGUAGGGGGGAUAUUUGGGAGCUUAUUGGGAGGAUACGCAUUGUCCAAUCUCCCAAUAAAUGCUAUUUAUAUUAUUUUCUCUGCUCUUCCACUGUUCCAACUAGUUACAUGUGUUUUCGUGAAGGAAUCUCCAAAAGGAUAUGAGAGCACGAUAGAUAAUGCUGCACAUGAUUAUGCUGAUGAUCAGAAUAUUGAUGGUGCUUUUGCUGGACAAGGCUCAGGUGAAUCUUUUAAAUAUGUGAGCACUAGGAAGCGAAAGGGUGCUCGUAAAAAGAACAAAAGGAGAACAUUGUCCAAACGACCUGAAGGUCAUGAGAAGCACAAUAAAUCAGUUAAUUUAUACUCAUCUCUGAAAUCAGCCUUCUUCAGUUUAUGCACAGCUUUUAAGCAGCCAGCAAUUCUGCGACCUAUGGCAUGGUUUUUCCUUUCAAAUGCAGCAGUUCCAAAUAUCUCAACAGUAAUGUUCUAUUAUCAAACGGAGGUUCUACAUCUGGAGGCAUCCUUCUUAGGGACUGCACGUGUGAUUGGGUGGUUCAGUCUAAUGCUUGGCACAUAUAUCUACAACCGCUACUUAAAGCAUAAAAAACUCAGGAAUAUUCUUAUGUUUGCACAUCUUGGCCUUGCGAUAAUUACUGUACUGGACAUUUUACUGGUGUCAAGAUUACAUAUCCAGUAUGGAAUAGCAGACAAAUACAUGGUGCUGUGGGGCUCUGCUUUGGCUGAUGCAAUCAACCAAUUCAAGAUGAUGCCGUUCCUAAUCCUCUCAGGACAGCUUUGCCCGCCUGGAAUCGAGGGCACACUGUUUGCUCUGUUCAUGUCCAUUAACAACCUCAGUUCGACAUUAGGUUCAUUCCUUGGAGCUGCAUUGACGUCAGCUUUGAACAUCUCGUCGGUACAGUUUGACAAUCUGACGCUCAGCCUAACUGUUCAGCUGAUGGGCACUCUCUUACCUAUCGGAUUUUUGUUUCUGAUUCCAAGGGACGUCACGGGACUAACAUCAUAG
rnacentral:rRNA from 1 species